rfam:Massilia timonae CCTG 45783 genomic scaffold supercont1.1, whole genome shotgun sequence.
NNNNNNNNNNNNNNNNNNNNNNNNNNNNNNNNNNNNCGAUUACAGGCGAUGAAGGACGUAGUAGCUUGCGAUAAGCUGCGGGGAGCUAGCAAACGAGCUUUGAUCCGCAGAUUUCCGAAUGGGGAAACCCGGCCUUUUAGGUCAUUGCAUACUGAAUACAUAGGCAUGCAAAGCGAACGCGGCGAACUGAAACAUCUAAGUAGCUGCAGGAAAAGAAAUCAACCGAGAUUCCCAAAGUAGUGGCGAGCGAAAUGGGAUGAGCCUGUACGUGAUAGUCGAACGAAUAGCAGAAGCCUCUGGAAAGGAACGCCAUAGUGGGUGAUAGCCCCGUACACGAAAUCAAAACGGUGGUACUAAGCAUACGACAAGUAGGGCGGGACACGAGAAAUCCUGUCUGAACAUGGGGGGACCAUCCUCCAAGGCUAAAUACUCGUAAUCGACCGAUAGUGAACCAGUACCGUGAGGGAAAGGCGAAAAGAACCCCGGGAGGGGAGUGAAAUAGAUCCUGAAACCGUGUGCAUACAAACAGUAGGAGCCUCCUCGUGGGGUGACGGCGUACCUUUUGUAUAAUGGGUCAGCGACUUACAUUCAGUGGCGAGGUUAACCGAAUAGGGGAGCCGUAGAGAAAUCGAGUCCGAACAGGGCGACAGUCGCUGGGUGUAGACCCGAAACCAAGUGAUCUACCCAUGGCCAGGAUGAAGGUGCGGUAACACGCCCUGGAGGUCCGAACCCACUAAUGUUGAAAAAUUAGGGGAUGAGCUGUGGGUAGGGGUGAAAGGCUAAACAAACUUGGAAAUAGCUGGUUCUCUCCGAAAACUAUUUAGGUAGUGCCUCAAGUAUCACCACCGGGGGUAGAGCACUGUUAUGGCUAGGGGGUCAUUGCGACUUACCAAACCAUUGCAAACUCCGAAUACCGAUGAGUGCGAGCUUGGGAGACAGACAUCGGGUGCUAACGUCCGGUGUCAAGAGGGAAACAACCCAGACCGCCAGCUAAGGUCCCAAAGAUUGGCUAAGUGGAAAACGAAGUGGGAAGGCUAAAACAGUCAGGAUGUUGGCUUAGAAGCAGCCACCAUUUAAAGAAAGCGUAAUAGCUCACUGAUCGAGUCGUCCUGCGCGGAAGAUGUAACGGGGCUAAGCCAGUCACCGAAGCUGCGGAUAUAUUUCUCGUGAUUUAUCACUUGAUCUAUAUGGUAGGAGAGCGUUCUGUAAGCCUGCGAAGGUGUCUUGUAAAGGAUGCUGGAGGUAUCAGAAGUGCGAAUGCUGACAUGAGUAGCGAUAAUGCGGGUGAAAAGCCCGCACGCCGUAAGCCCAAGGUUUCCUGUUCAACGUUCAUCGGAGCAGGGUGAGUCGGCCCCUAAGGCGAGGCAGAGAUGCGUAGCUGAUGGGAAGCAGGUUAAUAUUCCUGCACCGUCGUAUGAUGCGAUGGGGGGACGGAUCGCGGAAGGUUGUCUAACUGUUGGAAUAGCCAGUUUUUGACUCAUAGAAGGUGCUUAGGCAAAUCCGGGCACGUAAUUCAAGGGGUCGAGACGAGUCGCCACGUGCGACGAAGCAAUCGGAAGUGGUUCCAAGAAAAGCCUCUAAGCUUCAGUCAUACGAGACCGUACCGCAAACCGACACAGGUGGGCGAGAUGAGUAUUCUAAGGCGCUUGAGAGAACUCGGGAGAAGGAACUCGGCAAAUUGGUACCGUAACUUCGGGAUAAGGUACGCCCUAGUAAUUUGACCACUUUACUGUGGAAGGAUGAACGGGUUGCAAUAAAAUGGUGGCUGCGACUGUUUAAUAAAAACACAGCACUCUGCAAACACGAAAGUGGACGUAUAGGGUGUGACGCCUGCCCGGUGCUGGAAGAUUAAAUGAUGGGGUGCAAGCUCUUGAUUGAAGUCCCAGUAAACGGCGGCCGUAACUAUAACGGUCCUAAGGUAGCGAAAUUCCUUGUCGGGUAAGUUCCGACCUGCACGAAUGGCGUAACGAUGGCCACACUGUCUCCUCCCGAGACUCAGCGAAGUUGAAAUGUUUGUGAUGAUGCAAUCUACCCGCGGCUAGACGGAAAGACCCCAUGAACCUUUACUGUAGCUUUGCAUUGGACUUUGAAUCAAUCUGUGUAGGAUAGGUGGGAGGCUUUGAAGCGGGGACGCCAGUUCUCGUGGAGCCAUCCUUGAAAUACCACCCUGGUUCAUUUGAGGUUCUAACCUUGGUCCGUUAUCCGGAUCGGGGACAGUGCAUGGUAGGCAGUUUGACUGGGGCGGUCUCCUCCUAAAGUGUAACGGAGGAGUUCGAAGGUACGCUAGGUACGGUCGGACAUCGUGCUAAUAGUGCAAUGGCAUAAGCGUGCUUAACUGCGAGACCGACAAGUCGAGCAGGUACGAAAGUAGGACAUAGUGAUCCGGUGGUUCUGUAUGGAAGGGCCAUCGCUCAACGGAUAAAAGGUACUCUGGGGAUAACAGGCUGAUUCCUCCCAAGAGUUCAUAUCGACGGGGGAGUUUGGCACCUCGAUGUCGGCUCAUCACAUCCUGGGGCUGUAGCCGGUCCCAAGGGUAUGGCUGUUCGCCAUUUAAAGUGGUACGUGAGCUGGGUUUAAAACGUCGUGAGACAGUUUGGUCCCUAUCUGCCGUGGGCGUUGGAAAUUUGAAGGGGGCUGCUCCUAGUACGAGAGGACCGGAGUGGACGAACCUCUGGUGUACCGGUUGUCACGCCAGUGGCAUUGCCGGGUAGCUAAGUUCGGAAGAGAUAACCGCUGAAAGCAUCUAAGCGGGAAACUUGCCUUGAGAUGAGAUUUCCCGGAGCCUUGAGCUCCUUGAAGGGUCGUUCGAGACCAGGACGUUGAUAGGCUGGGUGUGGAAGUGCAGUAAUGCAUUAAGCUAACCAGUACUAAUUGCCCGUACGGCUUGUCCCU